CAAAACACUUCAAGUAAAAACAGAACAUCUCUAUGACCUGAGCUAUUUCUUUCGACGUAUACCAAAACAUGUUUACUAUAUGGAAAAGUAGAAAUGAAAUUACAUAUAAAUACCUCCGAUAAUGCCCUGUGCCUACCCUAAACUAUUAUGUAGUAAGCUGGGAUUUCUUCUAAUUUUACCAGGGAAUACCAAAUCCCUGGCAAACACUGAAGUGGUAUGGUCAUUUUGAAAUGUGGUGUAUCAGGGAUAUGGUCUGCUGAAUAAGGCGAUUUUUAAUGAUUUUAGUAUAACUUGGUUCAGCUUAUAUCUUUGUGAGGAGAAAGUACAUAAUUGAAGAAUAAUACAAAGACUUCUUAUCUGACAACAAAUCGAGUUUCUUUAUCAGCAAAUUAUAAAAAUAUUUAAUUACCUUGAAAAGUUAAUUAUAUUAAUAUAAAUUCUUCGUUGCAAUAGAUAAGAUAUGAUCUGAUGAAUUCUGAAAAGAUAAAUUCAGGUGCAUGCUUCCUCUAAUUGUUAACAGUUUUCGUUCCAAUAGUAGAUUCUGCAAAUUGUGGCUCAGUAUUAGCACACAACCUACCCACAUUUAUUGAUAACCUAGUUUUUCCAUUUUUGAAUUUCCCUCCCCCCCACUACCACAAGAGAGUUUCGAAUCCGAGUCUUUGACCUAGUAAGGCUUCGCUCUUACUAUUUGAGCUUGGCCUUGAUCUCAUCAAUAACCUAGUUGGAGUCUUCUAAAAUAGGAUGGAUAGAACAAAGCUUAGACGAAGAAAAGAUAUUAAACUUCUAAAUUUCAGCAAUCUACCAAAAAACCCUACCGAAGGUUGUGCAAGGAUCACUGAGACUCGUCUAAGAUAGUAUGUCAAAAUUUGACUAUAAGAGUUGAUAGGUGUAAAAUCAUUCCAUGACAUUCUGUAUGCAGUCCCUGGUAAGAUUACCAGCUUAAAGUGCACUAAGAUCUAUGAAUCUAUAUAGUAAGCUAAAACGGUAAUCUGAAGUUAUAAGCUGCCACUUGUGUGUCUCUUUUUUUAAAAAGUUAUUCCCCUCUGGACCUGCAAGACUUGAAAGCUUAAAUGUGAUAAUGCAUAUGGAUUAGAAGAGCAUGAAAGGAAGAAAUUGCACUUUAUAGCUGUCGUAACAUAAAAUUAAGUUUUAACGUUUCACAAAUUAAAACCCUUUAAUUUUUCGUUUUCUUAUUUAGUUUUAAGUUUUAAUACAAUUAAAACGUCAUAAUUUAUAUUGUAACUUAUGUUUUAAUAGUUUAAAUGUGGGGGUUUUGAAUUUUACCUAUAAAAGGAGAUGAUAUUUCAUUGUUGGAAAUAACUUGAUAUAUAACUUAGAAAUGACUCCCUAAACGUUUAUAUCUAUUAUUUUGGUAAUUCGAUAAAGACUUGUUUUUUAUCUUCUUGUUGUCGUGUUCAUAAAAGGAGAAUUGGCUAUGAGUUAUAUGGAUUUUAUUUUGGAGACGUAUAGUUCGGAAAGUACCCGCAUGAAGGGAAGCUAUGAUGCACCGACACGGACACGUGUGUCAUACACGGAUACG
rnacentral:lncRNA from 1 species